AGUCGAGAAUCAUUCGCAAUGGGCGAAAGCCUGACGGUGCGACGCCGCGUGGAGGAUGACGGCCUUCGGGUUGUAAACUCCUGUCAUCAGAGAGUAAGGCUCUCGCGAGUAACUGCGCGGGAGAUUGAUAGUAUCUGAAGAGGAAGGGACGGCUAACUUCGUGCCAGCAGCCGCGGUAAUACGAAGGUCCCAAGCGUUGUUCGGAUUUACUGGGCGUAAAGCGUCUGUAGGCUGCGCGGUAAGUCAGAUGUGAAAGCCCGGGGCUCAACCCCGGAACUGCAUCCGAUACUGCCGUGCUUGAGGGUCGGAGGGGAGUCUGGAAUUCACGGUGUAGCAGUGAAAUGCGUAGAUAUCGUGAGGAACACUAGUGGCGAAGGCGAGACUCUGGACGACACCUGACGCUGAGAGACGAAGGCCAGGGUAGCGAA
rnacentral:rRNA from 1 species